rnacentral:lncRNA from 1 species
AGCAGUCCCUCCAGGGCCUUCUGAGCUGAGCACCCCCGCUGCAAUCCCUCCCAGCUCUGCCGGGCCUGAGGAGGAGCUUGGUCUGUAUCAGUGUCAUUAACAGAGCAUCUUACCUGCAGAUUGUCUUGCCUUACCUUCUCAUGAACCACACCAGCUGACUGGAUGUGGAGGAGAUCCAACCGUGCCUACCACCAAAAUCCAGGUAGGGCAGGACAUCCUUCAGUUAUGUUUAAGGACUGACUUUGUAUCUUUUAUCUCAUGCUCAACUUCGAAGCAGAAGCUGCAAAGUGCAGACAGUAGAUGACUACAUGAUUUAUCCAGGUUUCCAUCAGGAGGCUACAUGUGUCUUCUGCCUGUAAUAAUGGAGGGAUAACUGCAAAGCUGGAUUAUUUCUUUACUUAGAAUGUUUUUCUUAUGCAAAUUCAAUAAGCAGAUUACUGAGAGGAUACCUUUGAUGUUUUCCCAUCAAGCAUUCAAUUAGUUGAACUUGUACAGCUGCCUCACCCUUCUCCUGUGUGCAAACAGAUAAAAAAUACUAGUACUACAGAGAACAGUCCUAUGGAAAUUUUAUGCAGGACUUCAUUCUCCCACCACCUUUUUUUUUUCCCAGAACGUUGAAGCUUGGUCCGUGUCAGGCUUCCAGCUCUUGCAGAGAGAAGCAGGUUUGGUGACUGCUGGCUCUGGGGCCUAAGAUGAAGGGGAGAUACCCGGUUACUGCUCACCUUGGUCUGCUGGUAGAGGGGAAAAGUUUGGAUUCAGUGCCACUAUUUGAGGGAUUAGCAGAAAGGAAAAUGAAGAUCUGCCAAUGGCCAGGCUCUGGAAAGUGCAAGUGACUUUCACUGAUUUUAGUGGAAAUUUAAAACAGCAAAUCUUUUAACUUCUUAUGACCUUUUGUUCUUAAGAAACAGCUUGAGUUUUGUACUCCAUGCAAACACAAGCACAGGAAAUCAAUACUUAAAUCAAGUAUUCUACAAUGAAUAGUAACACCCAUCUCACCCAUAAUGGAGUGCUUCAUGAAUUAUCAAAGACUUGUCUGUAAUACAUUGUAUUCACUGUAGCAAGAAGCAGAUCAGAAUCAAGCUCUUGGGCAACUGUACGACCAUCUUCAUCUGUACACAUUCUCAUUUUGAAACACAUGAUUUAAUAAGUUAUUUCAGUUUUACGUGAAAAU